rnacentral:rRNA from 1 species
GAUGAACGCUGGCGGUAUGCCUUACACAUGCAAGUCGAACGGAAAUUAGCUUCGGUUAAUUUUAGUGGCGGACGGGUGAGUAACACGUGAGAAUUCGCCUUUAGGAGGGGGACAACGGAUGGAAACAUUCGCUAAAACCCCAUAUGCCCCUGGGUGAAACAGAGGAGAUAAGUAAUACUGACUCACCUCUGCCUGAAGAGAAGCUCGCGGCUGAUUAGCUAGUUGGUAGGGUAAAGGCCUACCAAGGCGACGAUCAGUAGCUGGUCUGAGAGGACGAUCAGCCACACUGGAACUGAGACACGGUCCAGACUCCUACGGGAGGCAGCAGUGAGGAAUUUUCUGCAAUGGGCGAAAGCCUGACAGAGCAAUACCGCGUGAGGGAUGAAGACUUACUGAGUUGUAAACCUCGGUACCUUAAGGAAGAAGAUCUGACGGUACUAA